GCUUGCUUCGGCAGUACAUAUGCUAAAACUGGAACGAUACAGAGAAGAUUAGCAUGGCCUCUGCGCAAGGAUGACAGUAUCUUAACAAGGGGAUCAUUAGCAAUCG